GAUCAAGCCAAUUUUCCGUCACAUCUAGUGAGCAAGCACACUGCGCACCCAUAUGAGCCGUAAGAUUAAGUUCCCUACUAACAUGCCGACCCGAGAAAGAAACAAAACUAGGUAUAAUGGCUUCCAAUUCUAUUAAGAUAGGCGCCGCAAUUGAUCUUGUGGUGGUGCGCGAAUUCCAGAGGUCGAUCAACUCCAAGCAAUCAACGUGAAUUAUCACAUGUGAGUAUCCCUGGAGCUGAGCAAAAAUCACUCCCUCUCGUAAAGCAAGCAGCUCGGAAACAAAAGGAUCUGAGACUCCCUCGAGUGGCUUGCACCAGGCUUCGAAGAACGCAAGGUGCGAGCGAGCUACUCCUCCUGCUCCUGCUAAAAGAGCAUCUGAAAACACUGAGCCAUCGUUGUUGAUAGUGAUCCAUCCCGGCUCCGGUAGCCGCAAAUGUUGUUGUGAAGUAGAGUUAUUUGAUGGCCAUAACCGGGUUAUACCCGUCCUUGUCAUGAAUCCAUCUAUUUCGUGACAAUCAAAUGACAUGCAUGAUGGUUAUGAUCUUGCAUCUGGCAUCCAAGGAGAAUUGCUAAUCCAGCAAAAUGUUGCAUGCCCAAGUUUAUGGCCGGAGCCUAGGCAGAACGUGUCUUUGGCGGCAAUCCAAAAAUUCUUAGCAUGGGUACAAAAGAUGAGCGCAUGCAUUAGAGUCUCAUCCAUCGCCUGGCAAAUGUCUCGCCGCCCGAGCGGUUUAAUAUGUCGGUACUUCAGGGUCAUCGAGUCUGAUAGAAACCACGAAGAACUCUCCACCAAAACACUCGAACCUUAGGUACAACACAUGUAAUUUCCAAAAUGCAAUCCAUAAUUGUUUGUUUGAAGAUGAAGUAUCCGUGAUCGUCCCUUCCUCUAGUGUACUAAGCUCGUUUUGAGUCAUUAGAGCACUAUAAGUUGAUUUAACAGUACACUGACCUGACUUUUCAAAAGCCCGUGCCAAAGCGUCUCCCACCCCCCAGCCGGGUUCAAAGGGAUAUUUAAGAUCGUCUCCCCGUCUGAGGGAAGAAAUUGUCGGACCAGAUCCACAUUUCAAUUUCCUAUGUGAUCAUCAAUCAAGUCUGAAACCAUGUCGAACGGGGCGUCACCAAUCCGGCACAUGGGUUUCAUCAUUGCCGUAUUGCGAAUCCACUCAUCUGUCCAAAUCGAGAAGGAGCUCCGGCAUCCGCUCGUUAGGACUCGGGACCGUAACCGGCUGCAGCACUUCCUGGACGCGUUGAUGGCGGCCGCCCGACGGCUCUCCUCUCCCUUGCUUGCUGCCUAGCCUGCCCCCGUGUGGGCCUUUUUGUUUCUUCUUCCUUUCUUGGGCUGGACUGUGUUGUUGCCCCAGCGGACUAUCUUUUUAUUUCUUUGUUCGGACAUGUUACCUGGAUUCUGUUCUGUGUGCUUUAUCUAUAAAGCGGGGCGAAAGCCUGUUUCGAGAGA